rnacentral:rRNA from 1 species
AGAGUUUGAUCAUGGCUCAGGAUGAACGCUAGCGGCAGGCUUAAUACAUGCAAGUCGAGGGGCAGCACGGUUAGCAAUAACUGGUGGCGACCGGCGCGACGGGUGACGUAACACGUAUACAAUCUACCUUAAACGAGGGGAUAGCCUCGAGAAAUCGGGAUUAAUACUCCAUAACAUAAUUAAGUGGCAUCAUUUGAUUAUCAAACCUCCGGGGAUUAAAGAUGAGCAUGCGCAACAUUAGCUAGUUGGUAAGGUAAUGGCUUACCAAGGCUACGAUGUUUAGGGGGUCUGAGAGGAUGAUCCCCCACACUGGUACUGAGACACGGACCAGACUCCUACGGGAGGCAGCAGUAGGGAAUAUUGGGCAAUGGAGGAAACUCUGACCCAGCCAUGCCGCGUGCAGGAUGACGGCCUCUGGGUUGUAAACUGCUUUUAUACGGGAAGAAAAAUACUACGUGUAGUAUACUGACGGUACCGUAAGAAUAAGGAUCGGCUAACUCCGUG